UCGGAUCAAUCAAAUCGGAGGCUAGUUGAGAGCAGACCAAUAGCAUGACAACUGGAGAGCCAAUUGAACCAAUUUGAAGACAACAAUUAACGAAAAACCUAUGAAUUUAUAAUGGGUUUCAUAUUAUAAAGGCCAACGCUCCUCUAAAAUUAGCCAACAUGAACCAAUCAAGCUAGCAGCAAUAGUAGAAUCAAUACAAAUCAUCACCAUUAAAGGAAUCCCAAACCACCCAGUAGCAUUGAGUGCAUACGGUAAAGCCAAUAUACCAACACCAGCAUUUUCACCAGCUACAAACAGAAUCGUUGUCAGAACCGAUAAACCCUUCUUCUCCGGUUCACUCUUAUCAAGAUGGUUUGGUUGGAAGCCAAUUUUUGCUCGAGAUUCUUGCUGUUUAAAAAUUAGAGUUAAUUCAAUUGCCUCAUAAAAAACAUUUAAUCAACAUGAAGAAUCUCACAGUUUUAUGGAUUUGGUACAAGAUUAUUCAUAUUUGCUUCAUUUAACCCAAAGAGUAAAGGAACUAUAAAUUUGAUUUAACCUAAACCAAAAGUUGAAAAAUGCGACUUGGACUAAUAGACUUGGACAUAAAAUUAAAGUAAAUUCAUAUUGACACAGUCAAUUAUGUCUUUAUCCUACAAAGAUUAAACAAAUUGCUGAUUACUUAACAACUACAUUAGCUGGUUAUACUUAUGUAAGUUUUGAUUGUUUGAUAUUUCACUGUGAUGAAUUGACAUUUAAUGUCAUUCAUUGUCAGGCGACCAACUCAUGAUGGAAAAUAAAAUGUACAUGUUUAGCCGUA